CGAACGGGUGAGUAACGCGUGAGGAACCUGCCUCAAAGAGGGGGACAACAGUUGGAAACGACUGCUAAUACCGCAUAAGCCCACAGCUCGGCAUCGAGCAGAGGGAAAAGGAGCAAUCCGCUUUGAGAUGGCCUCGCGUCCGAUUAGCUAGUUGGUGAGGUAACGGCCCACCAAGGCGACGAUCGGUAGCCGGACUGAGAGGGUGACCGGCCACAUUGGGACUGAGACACGGCCCAA
rnacentral:rRNA from 1 species